UACGUAGGAGGCAAGCGUUGUCCGGAAUUACUGGGCGUAAAGCGCGUGUAGGCGGAUGCCUAAGUCUGUGGUGAAAGCGCCUGGCUUAACCGGGCGAGGUCCAUGGAAACUAGGCGUCUGGAGGCCGGUAGAGGGGGGUGGAAUUCCGGGUGUAGUGGUGAAAUGCGUAGAGAUCCGGAGGAACACCAGUGGCGAAGGCGGCUCACUGGUCCAUUACUGACGCUGAGGUGCGAAAGCGUGGGGAGCAAACAGG
rnacentral:rRNA from 1 species